CAGGCAUAAUACAUGCAAGUUGAACGGGAUUAGUUGUAGCAAUAUGACUAUGAGAGUAGCGCACGGGUGCGUAACGCGUAUGCAACCUGCCUCCAACUGGGGAAUAGCCCCUCGAAAGAGGGAUUAAUACCGCAUAAAAUAGUGAAUAGGCAUCUAUUUACUAUUAAAACUACGGUGGUUGGAGAUGGGCAUGCGUGACAUUAGCUAGUUGGUAGGGUAAUGGCCUACCAAGGCUACGAUGUCUAGGGGGUCUGAGAGGAUGUCCCCCCACACUGGUACUGAGAUACGGACCAGACUCCUACGGGAGGCAGCAGUAGGGAAUAUUGGUCAAUGGAGGCAACUCUGAACCAGCCAUGCCGCGUGCAGGAUGACGGCCCUAUGGGUUGUAAACUGCUUUUGUACGGAACGAAAAGGUCUCUCUUAAUACGGGGGACUCAUGACGGUACCGUAAGAAUAAGCACCGGCUAACUACGUGCCAGCAGCCGCAGUAA
rnacentral:rRNA from 1 species